UACGGAGGAUGCAAGCGUUAUCCGGAAUGAUUGGGCGUAAAGCGUCUGUAGGUGGCUUUUUAAGUCCGCCGUCAAAUCCCAGGGCUCAACCCUGGACAGGCGGUGGAAACUACCAAGCUGGAGUACGGUAGGGGCAGAGGGAAUUUCCGGUGGAGCGGUGAAAUGCGUAGAGAUCGGAAAGAACACCAACGGCGGAAAGCACUCUGCUGGGCCGGACACUGACACUGAGAGACGAAAGCUAGGGGAGCGAAAUGGGAUUAGAACUACCCGAGUCAGUCCAAGACCAGUCUCGUACCUACCGAUAC
rnacentral:rRNA from 1 species